rnacentral:rRNA from 1 species
GUGGGUAACCUACCUAUAAGACUGGAAUAACUUCGGGAAACCGGAGCUAAUGCCGGAUAACAUAUAGAACCGCAUGGUUCUAUAGUGAAAGAUGGUUUUGCUAUCACUUAUAGAUGGACCCGCGCCGUAUUAGCUAGUUGGUAAGGUAAUGGCUUACCAAGGCGACGAUACGUAGCCGACCUGAGAGGGUGAUCGGCCACACUGGAACUGAGACACGGUCCAGACUCCUACGGGAGGCAGCAGUAGGGAAUCUUCCGCAAUGGGCGAAAGCCUGACGGAGCAACGCCGCGUGCGUGAUGAAGGUUUUCGGAUCGUAAAACUCUGUUAUUAGGGAAGAACAAAUGCGUAAGUAACUGUGCGCAUCUUGACGGUACCUAAUCAGAAAGCCACGGCUAACUACGUGCCAGCAGCCGCGGUAAUACGUAGGUGGCAAGCGUUAUCCGGAAUUAUUGGGCGUAAAGCGCGCGUAGGCGGUUUCUUAAGUCUGAUGUGAAAGCCCACGGCUCAACCGUGGAGGGUCAUUGGAAACUGGGAAACUUGAGUGCAGAAGAGGAAAGUGGAAUUCCAUGUGUAGCGGUGAAAUGCGCAGAGAUAUGGAGGAACACCAGUGGCGAAGGCGACUUUCUGGUCUGUAACUGACGCUGAUGUGCGAAAGCGUGGGGAUCAAACAGGAUUAGAUACCCUGGUAGUCCACGCCGUAAACGAUGAGUGCUAAGUGUUAGGGGGUUUCCGCCCCUUAGUGCUGCAGCUAACGCAUUAAGCACUCCGCCUGGGGAGUACGACCGCAAGGUCGAAACUCAAAGGAAUUGACGGGGACCCGCACAAGCGGUGGAGCAUGUGGUUUAAUUCGAAGCAACGCGAAGAACCUUACCAAAUCUUGACAUCCUUUGAAAACUCUAGAGAUAGA